AACGAACGCUGGCGGCAGGCCUAACACAUGCAAGUCGAGCGAAGCCUUCGGGCUUAGCGGCGGACGGGUGAGUAACGCGUGGGAACGUGCCCUUUGCUACGGAAUAGCCCCGGGAAACUGGGAGUAAUACCGUUUGUGCCCUUCGGGGGAAAGAUUUAUCGGCAAAGGAUCGGCCCGCGUUGGAUUAGGUAGUUGGUGGGGUAAUGGCCUACCAAGCCGACGAUCCAUAGCUGGUUUGAGAGGAUGAUCAGCCACACUGGGACUGAGACACGGCCCAGACUCCUACGGGAGGCAGCAGUGGGGAAUCUUAGACAAUGGGGGAAACCCUGAUCUAGCCAUGCCGCGUGAUCGAUGAAGGCCUUAGGGUUGUAAAGAUCUUUCAGUGGGGAAGAUAAUGACUGUACCCACAGAAGAAGCCCCGGCUAACUCCGUGCCAGCAGCAGCAGUAACAC
rnacentral:rRNA from 1 species